AAAGCAGCCUGGCAAGCUUAAAGGAGACUCAGUACGCGGCAGCGAUUGCGUAUGUAACCGAGUUCGAUGUAAACAUCAACCGAGCGGUGCCAGCAAGUGCCAAGAAACAGUCGAUGAAAGAAUCAGUCAAUAAAAAGUGUGCCCAAGUAACUGAAAGUGCGUCCACCAACAGGCUGUCAACGGGUUAAAGCGGACCAGAGUAGACAGAAACAAACCCAGGACAUUGAGCCAAAAAGAAGAAAAUUAAAAACACGCACCUUACUUCCGGGUUCCAAGAUGGUCACCGAAGCGUCACCUCCGACAUUCUCUGAUGACGUCGCUUCCGGCUCAGACCCGUGACAACCCUUCCGGUCUCCCGAAGACGAUGUCACUUCCGGUCCCCUUUUGAUGACGUCGUAUCCAUCUGCCUGUUUUGACAUCAUCUCCUGCCAACUAUUAUCCAUCCAUCAUUUUUUGUAGUGUUUAAAAGCCACCAUUUGUAAAACUUCCGUGUGAUGUGCUGUAAAGUAUUUUGAUCACCAA